GGNANAUNNNCNNAAACUUUCCACGUGAACCGUAUCAACCUUUUUUAAAUUGGGGGCUUCCCGUCUGGCCGGCCGGUUCCUCGGCUGGCUGGGUGGCGGCUCUAUCAUGGCGACCGCCUGGGCCUCGGCCUGGGCUAGUAGCGUAUUUUUUAAACCAUUCCUAAUUACUGAAAAAACUGUGGGGACGAAAGUCUCUGCUUUUAACUAGAUAGCAACUUUCAGCAGUGGAUGUCUAGGCUCGCACAUCGAUGAAGAACGCUGCGAACUGCGAUACGUAAUGCGAAUUGCAGGAUUCAGUGAGUCAUCGAAAUUUUGAACGCAUAUUGCACUUCCGGGUUAGUCCUGGGAGUAUGCCUGUAUCAGUGUCCGUACACUAAACUUGGCUCCCUUCCUUCCGUGUAGUCGGUGGAUGGGGACGCGCAGAUGUGAAGUGUCUUGCGGCUGGUCUUCGGUCCGGCUGCGAGUCCUUUUAAAUGUACUACACUGUACUUCUCUUUGCUCGAAAAGCGUGACGUUGCUGGUUGUGGAGGCUGCCUGUGUGGCAUGUCGGCGACCGGUUUGUCUGCUGCGGCGUUUUAAUGGAGGAGUGUUCGAUUCGCGGUAUGGUUGGCUUCGGCUGAACAGACGCUUAUUGGGUGCUUUUUCUGCUGCGGCGGGAUGGACUGGUGAACCGUAGCUGUGCUAGGCUUGGCGUUUGAACCGGCGGUAUUGUGCGAAGUAGGGUGUCUGUCUCGGCGCAAGCUGGGGUGGGCGAGGGUCGAUCCAUUUGGGAAACGUUGUGUGCGCUUCGGCGUGCAUCUCAAUUGGACCUGAUAUCAGGCAAGAUUACCCGCUGACUUAGAUNNNACCGGGGGGGGGGGGGGNCUUNUUUCNAA
rnacentral:rRNA from 1 species